CUCCUCAUUUAUGUCACAGUUGGCACCUCUCUCAUGGAGUCGAGGACCCCAUGACUUGGCAGUGCUGAAACACAGGCUAAAGGCUUUCACCACCUGCAGCUAGAGCCAUGGUUGGAGCAGGAGGAGUCAGCAACUGAUGCUGGAUCCAAAGACCAACAUCCCACCCUCAGGUUCAAGCAAGCCCUUUGAGUUGAGGAGGCUGGGAAGAAAAUCCUCCCAGGGCUGAGCUUCACUCCAGGGACUCUCUGAAGGUUAGGUGUUGAGAAGGCUAAUUAGACCUCUCUGAUCAGAAGCUGAGGCAGAGCACUCAUGGGGAACGCUCGGGCCUCAGGUCUCCUAGGCAUACUUCAUAUCUGUCAGGUACGGGGUGCUAGUCAGCCUCAGAUGGAUUCACUGGAAUUCUACCCUGCAACCUCAAGAAUGCAAAGACUUGGCACUCAUUCUCAGCAUUCUCAAGACAUGCUUAAUCAUGGGUGAUAGGUAAGCUCCCAUUCCUUCCUCCCUAAGAAGUGAGGAGGCAGAAUUGGCCCUUCUCUGAGGCCAGGAUGGGGAUGGCUGUUUUGUUCUUUGAGUGAUGGAGAUCUGUGCCCUGCUUCCAUGCAGCUGCUUCAGAAGUGACACAAGCUCUGGUGGGAUGGAAGAGAGAAGGAGAGAGAGAGAGAGAAGGGGAAGGAGAAGAAAGAAGAAAGAGAAGAAUGAAGAGAACAGUGAUGACCA
rnacentral:lncRNA from 1 species